ensembl:lncRNA
UUUUAAGGUAUGAGCAAUUGUCUUUAAUUUACUGGGUUAGACUAAAAGGAAGUGUUCACAACCCAUCUAUUUCAGUGCUUAGUGAUUGUUGGGAAUAUACUAAAAAGGCCAAUGGAUUUGGUUGGAAUAUUGACAAUUUAGUGAAUGAGUAUGGUUUGAAAGAAUUAAAGUAUGGUCCAGCAUUAGCUUUAAGUUGUAUUCCUCCAUGGCUGCUUCCUGAUUCAGAGGUAAACAUUGAUUUAUUAACAGGAAAAAGCGAGCAUCUCACAAACAUAAGUUUUUCUAAUGCCUGCUCAAGUUAUUUAAUUACUUCAUUCUAUGGAUAUCUGAAAAUAUUUACAGAUGGUUCUAAAGAUCCCAAAGGACAAUGUGGUAUUGGCAUAUAUAUUCCAGAAUUUGAAAAAGGAUAUGGAUAUAGAGUGGGUGACUUUAUCAGUAUAUUCAAUCGAGAUGGCCACAAUAAUAACCGCUCUUAGAUGGGUUGUAGAUACUAAACCUCUUAGAUCAGUGAUAUGUACUGAUUCUAUGGCAGUAGCCUACUACAAAGUUUUAUAACAGAUAAUUCAAUACGUGAAGAUUUGGUGAUGGAGGUAAAGCAUCUUCUUUUAAAUAUUAUAAGCCUUGGUUUAGUUAUUCAGUUCUGUUGGAUUCCAGCCCACCAUGGAAUAUAUGGAAAUGAAAUUGCUGAUAAAUUAGCUAAAAGAUACUAACCUAAUUAGAAGAAUUUAACCUUCAGUAUAUAUAUUUUUUUAUUCAUUUCUUUUGUUAGUUUGUUUUAUUUUGUUUCUUUUUUUUCGUUAGUUUGGUUUAUUUUUAUGAUUUAAAGUAUAAUUUGCCUACGUCCUUGUCACACACUCCUGUGUAGUAGUUCAGUAGGUGGCUGGGGAAAAACUAUGAUCCGCCAAACAAGAAGAAGAAGAAGAUCUCUGCAUCCGGUACGUCGCGGACUAGGCCACGUGUCUUGGCCCCAUAACGCGGAAGCAAAUCGCUCCUGUAUGUUACCCUGCGCCACUGAGCAGUUUGUAUAGGAAUGAAUGGGCGGCCAUUUUCCAGUCCGUGGUCCAUCCUUUGUUAUGUCCAUGGGCUCGUCGCCUUUAUUAUGUCCGUGGUCGUCGCAUGGACUAUACGUCAUCCAGCUCAGCUUGCGUGUGCGUGUGUCGGCUCAUUAGAAUAUGUACCGUAGCGGCCCGUACCGUAGCAGCACACCUCUCCCAAGUGGGCAAAUUGGCCUGGCCACACUCACACUGGCAGAUUUGAGCACGGUUCGGUGUGAAAACGGCCACGGCCAGAUGGCCUAGUUUUCACAGGUUAAAGACUUUUUGAAGUAAAGGGGAGCAUCUCAUCUGAACCUGAUGUCUAUCAUGGAUAUUUAACUGCAGUUCUGUGAGUAUCCCAACUUGACCAUGAAGAUGAACUGCAAACUGUAAGUCAAUAGUUUCUCAUUACUCUUGGGCACAUUGAUGUAUUUUGGCUUCCUGGUGAGUUAACCUGUUAGCUGAAGGUUGAUCUGAGUAUUAAGGAGGUUUCAUGGGUUACUUAGGUGUUUGGUUUAUGUUGGUUUUAAUGGUUUGUUACAAUGGUUACAGGCUCAAAGUUAUUGUUGUAAGCUGGAGUAAUGGGUUGGGUUCUGAUAUCUUCAGUCUUCUUUCCAGCUACUCUCCUGAGCUCUGCAUCUUCAUCACAUGAGUAUUGCUUUAUUUAUGAGGGUGUGGUCUGAGUGAGCAGAGGUGCAUACUGGGAUACAGAGUUGUCUGAAGUCUACAGGUCUGCAGGCACGCCCCCGCAGGGGAAACCGUGUGUUUGAGAAACGGUCGUGACAUCAGUUACAUGGACUAGAAUGUUCUUCAAGAUGGAGACGGAUUCAGAAGGAGAAACACCAGGGAGAGAUGAGGGGGCUCCUCAUCUCAACGACUAAAACACAACUUCAGUCUGACACAGAGAACCAUGGAACACAUUCAACAGUCCCCUCCAGGCAUCGUGACUCCUCAGGAACAGUUUCAUUUCCAGGAAGAUCUUUUUGGGGCCAUCCCCAUAUGGAUCCUGCGCCUCAAGAGCCACCCCCCUCCACUGGGUGGUCUUCUGAACAGAUGAUCUCCUUCCUGUCCUCAGGCUGACUAAAGCUGAACCGUUUGCAUCUGUGAAGGCCCCUCAUUCAGGAAACCACUGGACUACAAAGACAUGACUUCAGAGAUGUUGAAUCAACCUGGGACACAUUUUGGAGACGCCAAGCAUAAUCCAUCACCAAUGUGGGACGCCACUGAAGAAUGUUGUACAUAAUUUACGUCUCUGGAGACAUUGGUUGUUCUGUUAUGGGUGCCCUGGCAGGAGAGCUGGGGGGGGAUGAUGGAAUGUUAUUUGCUAUGAGGUUUUUACUCUGCAUGAUUGUUUGGCCUUUUAUGGCUCAGUGAUGUGUGUUGGGUUUGACAUGAGAUGGAAGAUUUUUGAGCAUCACUAGGGUUCUACUGUGUGUGUCUCCCCUCACACCUGGCAUGGGGUUGUGUGUGUGUGUGUGUGUGUGUGUGUGUGUGUGUGUGUGUGUGUGUGUGUGUGUGUGCGUGUGUGUGUGUGUGUGUGUGUGUGUGUGUGUGUGUGUGUGUGUGUGUGUGGGCUUGCUUUGACAGUGAUAAUGUUCAUACGGGGGUCUGUGUGAUUGGCUUGGGAUAUUGGAAUGGUCAACUAAAUCAUGCCUGAUGGACAGCCACACGUUUACUUAAGGGCCUCCGGUAGACAUGAAGAGCCCUGAGCGAUGCUCUGGAGCGAGAUCCAACACACUGGGCAGGAAGGAGAGUAUCCAACUCGAGUGUAAAAGGAUGCAAGCGGCGUGUUCAGAUCAGUGACAUCAAACUAGGACUACACCAAUCAGGAUCAAUGGAGGAUGGACACCAAAAGGAAUUCCACAAGGAGAGUCUGACGUUGGAAAGGGACCUAAAUGGAUAUUCAAGAUGACCUUCAGACCUGUAAUGAGACGGCUCUUCCUACCUGGUUGGAUUGAUGGAGAGCCCUCUGGAUCUUGUCUUGCUCUCAGUUGCACAUCUUCUCAGGCUGAACUGUAUUUGUUUCGGACAGGACUAGCUAUACGAUUGGUUCCCUUAAAUCAGAACCAAUCCGGGAACUCCAGCUAGUGCGCUCUUUGAGCUGAAGUUGUGCUCUUCAGCUGAGGAAAUAAGGAAACUUCACUGGGGCUUCAAGGUGUAAAGAGGAGGAUGUUUCAAAGUGUUCCAUGGUACUCUGAAGAAGACCGUUGUUGUGUUCCACUGGCUGCGAGGAAGAACCCACACAUCUUCCUCUUGGCAUUUCUCCUCUGAGAAUCCUGGCGCCAUCUUGAAGGAUAUUCCAGCUCAUGUAACUGAUGUCACGACAGAUUCUCAAACACUUGGUUUCUCCUGAGGGGCGUGUCUAUGGAACUGAAGACUUCAGGCAGCACUGUAUCCCAGCAUGCAUCUCUGCUCACUCAGACCACACCCCCAUGAGUAGGAUGCAACACUCUAGUGAUGGAGAUGUAUAGUUUUAUAAGUAGUGAGGGAGCAGACUAAAGUCAUUAGAACACAAUGGAAUGUCAAGUCUGUAAAUCCUUCAGCCAUGAAGAUGGUUGGAUAGUUCAGGAUUUGGGCUGCUUUUUAUUAUGGGCAGUCCUUUCACUCGGAUGCCCACUUCCCACUGGACUGUACAUGUGAUGGCUGGCUGGCAUGAUUUGCUGUUGGUGAUAAGGCGGUCAGGGUGAAUUUGCAGGGCUAUGGUCGGCUCUCUGUGAGCUCAACGUUUAGAUUUGCUCUGUAUGGUUUGUACCCUGAAUAAUCUAGAUAAUUGUAAAAAGUAGAGGUUUUGUAUUGAAUGAUUCCAGGAUUUUAGGUUUAAAGUUGUUGUGGGACGUACAUGGUAGUUUGGUUCUUCGUAUUGUUUUGAGUGAUAUAACUUGUACACACUGGGUGCAUAAUAAUGUAAAGGUACACUGAAUAGUAUUAAUGACCAACAGCAACAAACAGAUCUCCUCAAGGUAAGUCUGUUGGCUGUGUUUUAAUGAAGACCAUCGCUGGACUUCAGGAUCUUCCUCCGUUCAGCUCAAGGUGAGGCGCUGGUUCGGUUUUUUCUUUGGUUGGUUCCGGCCGGAAUGUUCGGAUUCCAGUCGGACGGGUUGUGCUUCCCGCCGUGGAAGGUUUUGAGUGCGGUCACUUGAUUUAGUCCCAAUGGUUAGCAUAGAACGUUGUAGUCUUGACAACCAUAAGAAACCUCCUGGCAGUUAGUCCCCUGAGGGACCUGGCGGAACGUUCUUGAUGUAUUUGAGUAACCUCGAGGCGGUGCCAACAAACUAUUUUUCAGUCGGUUUCCAUUGGGAAUUAUUGCCCCUAUCUUAAACAACUUAAGUUUGAUAUUAAAUACAUACCGAGACGUACGUUGUACAAUAUGCUGAUAAUUUCCGAUGGUUGCGCCGUACUUUUAACCACGAUGACGUUGCGGGACUCUCAUUGCGUACAAAACAGCGUUCUACUUGCGGGCCCAUAUUUGACAUCGGGGAAGGCUGAAAAUCAUUUCAUGGUGGAAGAUAAUUUGACAUUUCUUCAACGGAACCCAGCACCUGAAUAUGGCUGAGUAUAUUUGAUUUAAUAUCAAUACUGCUUAGUGUUCUUUGUUACUUCAGCUUUUGUAUGUUCUAAAUAUCUGCUGUCAUUAAUUGCCACAGAAGUUAAACCCUACCCAAUGGAAUGACGUUAAACAACGACUUUGGUGCAGAGUUACCAACUGGAUGAUAUCAAAGCUAAAAUAAUGGCCGUCAUUCCCACAUGUUACAGUAGAAGAUACUCUAGAACUGUACAAGGUUAAAAAGGUAACAUGUAGUUUGUCCCAAGGUGUCUGCCUCCUCACCCAGAGCAAGACCUCCACCUCCUCACCCAGCGCCAGACCUCCACCUCCUGUCAGAAGUCCUCCAGAACAGCUGAAAGGCGAGGCUGAGAGGCUGGGGACCGGAGGCUUGUGGUGCCAGGGUGGACCGGAGACUGAGGCUGGAGACCAGGGGCCUGCAGCACCGGACCAGAGGACCAGGAAUCCAUGGCUGAAGGAGCUGAUGGAGGAGCCGUGCUGAAGGCCCUGGGCUGGUGGAGGAGCUGGUGGAGGGCCUGCCUGGUGAAUGACGUCUGUCGUGGGACCAGGACUCUGUCUGAGGAGAGCUGCUGGAGGAGCUGAGACACUGGAGGACGACGAGGAAUCGACCAACAAGGAUUCCUCAACGUGUUUCUGGAGCGGAGGCGAGCUGGUAGGGCAGCCGUGACUCUGGAGGAGGACCAUCACUCUACCAACAAGGGUUGUAAGUUUGUAUUAACCAAACAAACUGGAAAUAAAGGGCUUAUAAUAAGACAAACUACAUGUUUGUUACCAGACUCGCGGCGUUUGUUCCAGACCAGGACUCUGGCUGAGGAGAGCUGAUGGAGGAGCCAAGACUCUGGAGGACGACAUCACUCCACCAACCAGGAUCCUCACCAGGAAUCUGGAGGACUGAUGGAGAAGCCAUACAUCUGGAAGGCAAAUCCUGAGGACCACCAAGACACAUACCAUCAAGGAUUCCUCAUAAAUGUGCAUUAUCUGGACAUAGUGGACUAGACACACCUGAGCUGAACCUCACCUGAUCCUGUUUGGUCGGGGGUAGACGCACCUGAGCUAAACCCGCCCUGAUCCUGACAUCCUGCUGGUCCCGUCUCCUCAGUUCAUCUGAGCCUCGUCCUCCAGAAGACCUGCUGAGCUCAGUAGUCUGAGGCUGAUGGAUCAAUGACCUCCACUGGGAGUGAUCUUCUUGACCCACCAUAUAACUGUGUGCUUCCACACGCCUUUCUCUCACGUCUGUCACUAACCUCACUACUUCACUACUCUCUACUGCUUCCUCUUUCCUUCUUUCUCUGUGGUUCAAACCUUUACACUGAAGGCGCGUCUUCCUGCCCUCAGAGGGUUUAGCGUUAGGGUUGAGAGUCAGGGUUUAGAGUCAGGGACAGAGCUGGUCAGGGAGGACUGCUUUUACACAAACUUCUUCACUUGCUUUCGGAAUGUGGUGUCAUUUUGCAACUAAACUAAACAAACUGGAAAUAAAGGGCUUAAAAAUAAGACAAACUACAUGUUUGUUACCAGACUCGCGCCAUUUGUUCCAGACCAGGACUCUGGCUGAGGAGAGCUGAUGGAGGAGCCAAGACUCUGGAGGACGACAUCACUCCACCAACCAGGAUCCUCACCAGGAAUCUGGAGGACUGAUGGAGAAGCCAUACAUCUGGAAGGCAAAUCCUGAGGACCACCAAGACUCUACCAUCAAGGAUUCCUCAUAAAUGUGCAUCAUCUGGACAUAGUGGACUAGACACACCUGAGCUGAACCUCACCUGAUCCUGUUUGGUCGGGGGUAGACGCACCUGAGCUAAACCCGCCCUGAUCCUGACAUCCUGCUGGUCCCUUCUCCUCAGUUCAUCUGAGCCUCGUCCUCCAGAAGACCUGCUGAGCUCAGCAGUCUGAGGCUGAUGGAUCAAUGACCUCCAGUGGGAGUGAUCUUCUUGAACCACCAUAUAACCGUGUGCUUCCACACGCCUUUCCCUCACGUCUGUCACUAACCUCACUACUUCACUACUCUCUACUGCUUCCUCUUUCCUUCUUUCUCUGUGGUUCAAACUUUUACACUGAAGGCGCGUCUUCCAGCCCUCAGAGGGUUGAGAGUCAGGGUUGAGAGUCAGGGACAGAGCUAGUCAGGGAGGACUGCUUUUACACAAACUUCUUCACUUGCUUUCGGAAUGGUGGUGUCAUUUUGCAAAGAUUCAUUUGGGAAAAUGUUUUCCUCUGCUUUCCUUUACAAAAUUGUAUUAAAAUUCUGUCAAGUGUUUUUGUUUAUAUAUUAAAAUCCCACAUUGACUUCUACAUGUUUGUUGCGGUUCAUUUAAUUGUCCUUUAACUUGGUUAAUGUCAAGCUAAACUCCUGCAAUACAUUUAAUAUGCAUGAUUGUUAUUCUGCAAUGUUCACAUAAUCCAUUUUGUAAAAAUAUGAAGCCUCCAUAUUACUACUAAAUUCAAG